GAUGAAGAACGCAGCAAAAUGCGAUAAGUAAUGUGAAUUGCAGAAUUCAGUGAAUCAUCGAAUCUUUGAACGCACAUUGCGCCCGCUGGUAUUCCGGCGGGCAUGCCUGUUCGAGCGUCAUUUCAACCCUCAAGCCCCCGGGUUUGGUGUUGGGGAUCGGCUCUGCCCUUCUGGGCGGUGCCGCCCCCGAAAUACAUUGGCGGUCUCGCUGCAGCCUCCAUUGCGUAGUAGCUAACACCUCGCAACUGGAACACGGCGCGGCCAUGCCGUAAAACCCCAACUUCUGAAUGUUGACCUCGGAUCAGGUAGGAAUACCCGCUGAACUUAAGCAUAUCAAUAAGCGGAGGA
rnacentral:misc_RNA from 1 species